AUUGAACGCUGGCGGCAGGCCUAACACAUGCAAGUCGAACGGCAACACGGUACGGCCUGCUGUUUCGCGGUGGCGAGUGGGAGGGGUGUGAAGUGUACAGCGAACUCCCCGUUGUCGUGGGGGAACACGUGGGGACACUUACUAUUAUACCGUAUCGUCCCUACAGCAAAAAGCAGGAGAUUUUCGGCCCUUGCGCGCGUGAGUGAGCCGAUGUGGGAUUAGCUCGGUGGGGGGGUAAAGGCACCCCGAGGCGACGCUCCGUAGCUGGUCUGAGAGGAUGACCAGCCACACUGGAACUGAGACACGGUCCAGACUCCUACGGGAGGCAGCAGUGGGGAAUAUUGGACAAUGGGCGCAAGCCUGAUGCAGCCAUGCCGCGUGGAUGAAGAAGGCCUUCGGGUUGUAAAGUACUUUUGGCGGGAAGGAAGGGAGGCAAGUUAAUACCUUGGCUUACUGACGUUACCCGCAGAAGAAGCACCGGCUAACUCCGUG
rnacentral:rRNA from 1 species